rnacentral:lncRNA from 1 species
GGUGGAGUCUAGAUCUGGGGCCCUAGGGUUUCAGACGGAGGAAUUAGGGAUCUAGGGUUUAGAGGAGAGAGCGGCGCCGCCUCUUGAGAUACAGGCGGUGGUGGCGGCUGGAACCUUUUCAGAUUGAGGCGGUGGUUAAGUGAGAUUUUGAGGGAGAGUGGCGGCGGCCUCACUGCCGUUCGCCGGAGAUUGAGAAAUUGGGCGGUGGUGUGAGUUUGUGAAUGCCCGAAUUGAGUCAAAAGAAUGAGAGAUAAGGUGGGCGAGGCCGGCGCUCCUCGCCGGA